UACAGAGGUCCCGAGCGUUGUUCGGAUUCAUUGGGCGUAAAGGGUGCGUAGGCGGCUUCCUAAGUUUGAUGUGAAAUCCUGGGGCUCAACCCUGGAACUGCAUUGAAUACUGGGAGGCUAGAGUACUGGAGAGGAACUGGAAUUUACGGUGUAGCAGUGAAAUGCGUAGAGAUCGUAAGGAAGACCAGUGGCGAAGGCGAGUUUCUGGACAGUUACUGACGCUGAGGCACGAAGGCCAGGGAGCAAACGGG
rnacentral:rRNA from 1 species